rnacentral:rRNA from 1 species
UACAGAGGGUGCAAGCGUUAAUCGGAAUUACUGGGCGUAAAGGGUGCGUAGGUGGUUUGAUAAGUUAGGUGUGAAAGCCCUGAGCUUAACCUGGGAACUGCGCCUAAUACUGUUGAACUUGAGUACUGUAGAGGAGGGUGGAAUUUCCGGUGUAGCGGUGAAAUGCGUAGAUAUCGGAAGGAACAUCAGUGGCGAAGGCGACUUUCUGGACAGAUACUGACACUGAGGCACGAAAGCAUGGGGAG